GACGUAGGGCGCGAGCGUUGUCCGGAUUUAUUGGGCGUAAAGAGCGCGCAGGCGGUCGAUCAAGUCGAGUGUGAAAGCCCCCGGCUCAACUGGGGAGGGUCAUUCGAUACUGAUCGACUCGAAGGCAGGAGAGGGUAGUGGAAUUCCCGGUGUAGUGGUGAAAUGCGUAGAUAUCGGGAGGAACACCAGUGGCGGAGGCGACUACCUGGCCUGUUCUUGACGCUGAGGCGCGAAAGCUAGGGGAGCAAACGGG
rnacentral:rRNA from 1 species